CCCCUCUCUCCGGGGGGGGGGCGGAGUUGGGAAUCUUUCACAAUGGACGCAAGUCUGAUGGAGCAACGCCGCGUGAGUGAAGAAGGGUUUCGGCUCGUAAAGCUCUGUUGGUAGUGAAGAAAGAUAGAGGUAGUAACUGGCCUUUAUUUGACGGUAAUUACUUAGAAAGUCACGGCUAACUACGUGCCAGCAGCCGCGGUAAUACGUAGGUGGCAAGCGUUGUCCGGAUUUAUUGGGCGUAAAGCGAGUGCAGGCGGUUCAAUAAGUCUGAUGUGAAAGCCUUCGGCUCAACCGGAGAAUUGCAUCAGAAACUGUUGAACUUGAGUGCAGAAGAGGAGAGUGGAACUCCAUGUGUAGCGGUGGAAUGCGUAGAUAUAUGGAAGAACACCAGUGGCGAAGGCGGCUCUCUGGUCUGCAACUGACGCUGAGGCUCGAAAGCAUGGGUAGCGAACAGGAUUAGAUACCCUGGUAGUCCAUGCCGUAAACGAUGAGUGCUAAGUGUUGGGAGGUUUCCGCCUCUCAGUGCUGCAGCUAACGCAUUAAGCACUCCGCCUGGGAGUUCACA
rnacentral:rRNA from 1 species